UACGGGAGGCAGCAGGGGGAAUAUUGCACAAUGGGCGCAAGCCUGAUGCAGCCAUGCCGCGUGUAUGAAGAAGGCCUUCGGGUUGUAAAGUACUUUCAGUCGUGAGGAAGGUGUUAAGGUUAAUAACCUUAGCAAUUGACGUUAGCGACAGAAGAAGCACCGGCUAACUCCGUGCCAGCAGCCGCGGUAAUACGGAGGGUGCGAGCGUUAAUCGGAAUUACUGGGCGUAAAGGGCACGCAGGCGGUUAAUUAAGUUGGAUGUGAAAUCCCCGGGCUUAACCUGGGAAUGGCAUUCAAGACUGGUUAGCUAGAGUCUUGUAGAGGGGGUAGAAUUCCAUGUGUAGCGGUGAAAUGCGUAGAGAUGUGGAGGAAUACCGGUGGCGAAGGCGGCCCCUGGACAAAGACUGACGCUCAUGUGCGAAAGCGUGGGGAGCAAACAGGGAUUAGAUACCCGU
rnacentral:rRNA from 1 species